AACGAACGCUGGCGGCAGGCCUAACACAUGCAAGUCGAACGCCCCGCAAGGGGAGUGGCGGACGGGUGAGUAACACGUGGGAAUUUUCCUCAAGGUACGGAACAACUCAGGGAAACUUGGGCUAAUACCGUAUGAUGCAGAGAUGCCAAAGAUUUAUCGCCUUGGGAUAAGCCCGCGUCAGAUUAGGUAGUUGGUGGGGUAAUGGCCUACCAAGCCUGUGAUCUGUAGCUGGUCUGAGAGGACGAUCAGCCACAUUGGGACUGAGACACGGCCCAAACUCCUACGGGAGGCAGCAGUGGGGAAUCUUGCGCAAUGGGCGAAAGCCUGACGCAGCCAUGCCGCGUGAAUGAUGAAGGUCUUAGGAUUGUAAAGUUCUUUAGCCUGUGACGAUGAUGACGGUAACAGGAGAAUAAGCCCCGGCUAACUUCGUGCCAGCCGCCGCGGUAAUAC
rnacentral:rRNA from 1 species